GGGGAUUUAGCUCAGUGGUAGAGUGCUUGCCUAACAAGCACAAGGUCCUGGGUUCGGUCCCCAGCUCCA
rnacentral:tRNA from 1 species